UCGCUGUCCUGGCCCCAAAUAUUCCUGCAAUCUACGAGCUGCACUUUGGAGUUCCAAUGGCAGGAGCAGUUCUCUGUACUCUCAAUAUACGUCAUGAUUCAGCAAUGGUGUCGACAUUGCUAAAACACUCAGGUGCAAAAGUCAUUUUUGUUGAUUAUCAGUUACUUCAUAUUGCAAAAGGGGCAUUAGGAAAUCUACUAAAGACAAGAAGCAUGACGCCUAAAUUAGUUGUGAUUCCUGACCAAGCUAGCUCAUCUUCCAGGGUUAGUGACAUGUAUUUCAAUAAUGACAUUUUAGAGUACGAGUCUUUCUUGGCAUCAGGAAGACCAGACUUUGAGGUUAUAAGGCCACAUGAUGAGUGGGAUCCUAUUGCUUUGAAUUACACUUCAGGUACAACAUCAAGCCCCAAAGGUGUUGUCUACAGUCACAGAGGAGCCUACCUCAAUUCUCUGGCUGCUGCUCUUUUAAACGAAAUGCCAUCCAUGCCUGUUUAUUUGUGGACUGUUCCGAUGUUCCAUUGCAAUGGCUGGUGCCUUACUUGGGCCGUUGCAGCACAGGGCGGCACAAAUGUUUGUCUAAGAAAUGUAACUGCAAAAGGGAUUUUUGAGUGCAUAGCUAAGCACCAAGUGAGCCACAUGGGUGGUGCACCUACAGUAUUAAAUAUGAUAAUUAAUGCACCAUCUGUUGAUCGGAGACUGCUUCCAGGAAAAGUGAUAGUGAUGACAGGCGCUGCCCCCCCUCCUCCUCAUGUACUUUUUAAGAUGGAGGAGCUGGGAUUCAAUGUUACUCAUUCCUAUGGCUUGACCGAAACAUAUGGUCCUGGAACAGUUUGCACUUGGAAACCCGAGUGGAAUUCACUACCACCUGAUGCACAGGCCAAGAUCAAGGCUCGUCAAGGGUUGCACCACCUUGGCAUGGAAGAACUCGAUAUCAAAGAUCCGGAAACAAUGCAAAGCGUACCACCGGACACAAAAACAAGGGGUGAGGUGAUGUUCAGAGGCAACACCGUCAUGAAUGGAUACUUUAAGGAUAGUAAAGCAACAGCUGAUGCUUUUAAAGGUGGAUGGUUUCGAAGUGGGGACGUGGGGGUGAAACACCCUGAUGGAUACAUAGAAUUAAAAGAUCGAUCCAAAGACAUUAUCAUCUCAGGAGGGGAGAAUAUUAGCUCGAUUGAGGUGGAAUCAGUGAUUUAUAGCCAUCCAGCAGUUCUGGAAGCUGCAGUUG
rnacentral:lncRNA from 1 species